rnacentral:lncRNA from 1 species
UCUCCUGACCGGACUCCUGCCAUGGCGUCACUCACCUUGCCAUUCUCUCCUUCCAGAUACCCUAAUCGGGCCUAUACCAAUGGGAUUCUGAGAUGCGACAAGAACAGAGUAGAUAAAAGACCUACCAACCACCUCUUUCCAUAUGCAUCCUGGGAUAUCUCCAUAUUACAUGGCCGUCAUCACCCGUCAUUUAAAUAGCUGUAUGAUACCUCACACAAUGCAUACACCAUCAUCUAUUUCUUCUAUCACUGGGGAUCUAGAAUAAGAAAGUUACUUCGCAAAAUCCCAAGGUAAAA